rnacentral:rRNA from 1 species
UACGUAGGGGGCAAGCGUUGUCCGGAUUUAUUGGGCGUAAAGCGCGUGUAGGCGGCUUGGCAAGUCCGCUGUGAAAGCCCCCGGCUCAACUGGGGAGGGUCACGCGAUACUGAUCGACUCGAAGGCAGGAGAGGGUGGUGGAAUUCCCGGUGUAGUGGUGAAAUGCGUAGAUAUCGGGAGGAACACCAGUGGCGAAGGCGACUACCUGGCCUGUUCUUGACGCUGAGGCGCGAAAGCUAGGGGAGCAAACGGG